AAAAACAAAUUCUAUAUUAAAACAAAUUUUAGAUAAUAAUAUGAUUCCACCAAACUCUUAAAAAUACAAAUACCUAUUACAAAAAUCACAAAUAGAAAAUUGAAAAACUUACAUUGUAAUUCCAAAUCCUUUUUAUUCACAGCACAACAUUAGAAAAUAUAUAAUAUUCUUUAUAUCUAUAUGAUAAAUAAACGAUUACAGAAUUUAUACAAUGAUCUGCACAAAGACAAAAAAAAUCCAGUGCAAAAUUUCUAAAAGGCAAUUGUAUUUGUCUUUCUAACAUUUAUAAGAACAACAGUUUUCAAAAACAGGAAAAUACUCAUCAUAUUUUUCAUUUCAAUAAACUAUUCUAUUUUAAAUAAUUUUUCAUUGCGAGAACAGAAAAAUGGACUUGUCUAUCAAGUCAAGCGCCAGAGCAAAAUAAUAUCUUCAGAGGUGUCCCCUGAAUGUAAAUCCAAGUGGGGCCGCCAUCUUGAAAAAUAUUUUUUAUCAGAUAUCUCACGAACCACGCAUCGUACGACAAAAGAUAAUUUUUAUAGAUAAUAAUUUUUGACAUCUUUUUUAUUUGAAACUUUUUUUAGUAUAGAAUUGGCAACUAAGUACUUUUGCUUUUUACUGAUAGAGAGCAUUGCUUUAUUUUUUGAAGAAUUUAUGUAAGUACUGUACUUUGACGUUUGUCACGUGAUAGUGGUCACAUUGACACAACUUUAGAAGUAACUAGUGCGUGAUUAUUAUUAAAGCUAUUAGUUUUGGGUUAUUAAAUGGAGUGCAGAAAUGAACAUUUUCGGCAUAUUUUCCUUCUUUAUUUCCGUAAAGGAAAAAAAUCUGCUGCGACUCACAAAGAAAUGUGUGAAGUUUAUGGUGCUGAUUGCUUAUCAGAAUUAGUAUAAAAAAUUCCGUUCUGGAGAUUUUUCCCUUCAAGAUGAGCAAAGUUCUGGUCGGCCUACUGAUGUUGAUGUCAUCAAAGUCAUAAUUGAAGAGGAUCGUCAUAUAAUUGUUCGAGAGGUGGCGAAGGGGUUACGUGUAUCGCACACAAUAAAUGAAAAACACUUAAAAUGGCUUGAGCUAUUUGAGAAGCUUGAUAUUUGGGUACCUCACUAAUUGAAAGAAAUUUAUUUAAACUUAGAAACAACAUUUGCGAUAUGUACCUUAAACGAAAUGACACCGAUCCUUUUUUGGAAAGAAUUAUCACUGGUGAUGAAAAAUGGGUCCUGUCCAGUAACAUAAUUCGAAACGAUCAUGUAGCAAAAUCGAUGAACCAGUGUUUUUUAAGCUGUUUCCAAGGAACCAAAAGAUCAAUUCUAAUGUUCACUGUCAACAAUUAAUGAAAAUGGAUGAAUUAAUCAAAGAAAAGAGGGCAGAAUUGUCAAAUCGGAAAGGUUUAGUAUUCCACCAUGAUAAUACAAGGCCUUACACAACUUUGGCAAGUCGUAAGAAACUAUUGGAGCUUGGCUGGAGUGAUGUCACCAGUCAACAGAAUUCUUUGUUCAAUCAAACUUUCACGGAUGAUGAUGACCUUCAAUCGCACCUGGUUCAGUUUUUUACUGAUAAGUACCAGAAAUUUUAUCAGCGCGGAAUCAUGAAGCUGAAAGAAAGAUGGCAAAAAGUCAUUGACAAAAUAGAAAAUAUAUAAUUGAUUAAAAACUAUUCUUUGUUAAAAAAUAGAAUUUUAUUAAGUUGUACUGCUAUUUCGGGUCGUUCGGAAUUUCCCCGUCUUAAUUUUCCAACAGUAUUCAGGUAUAGGUAAAUCUCAACAAUUUUUGUCUCCUAGUGAUGCUAGUUUGGUUCCCUCACCUGUUUAGUAUUGAAAUUUUCGUAGAUGCGUCAGUUUUUUUAGAGUAACAUUCAUAAAGUAUAAUAUAAAAUAGUAUGAUACGAUCAUAACGUUAAUUAUUAUUAUUAAUAAUAACAAUUCUUGGUGUAGCGUAGUGUAGUAUUGUUUUUCGCUACACAGACAAUAUUUUAUGAUGAUACCGUUUCCCCUUGUAAAUAACAAUAAAGAUAAAAUAUCAGUAGUUCUCCACACUAAUUAUAAUUUGAAUUGAUUCGCUACACAGCUGUAUCGACUUUUUUGUGUUACAUAUGCCAUUUUAUGCUUUAUGAAAUUGUUUUCGUAUACAAAGAGCAAUAUUGCCUCUGAUAAUGUACGGAAAGCAAGUUUUAUCAAGCUGCAACUCUUAAACUAUCAAUGUUACGAGAAAAAGUUUCCAAUAAAAUUUCAGCCCUACAAAUUCAUUUACCGCCAUUUUUAAUUUAUCAUGAUUUGUUAACUAUAUAUUUAUUUUAGAGAUAUCUGAUAACACGUGUUUUUCAAGAUGGAGGCUGACGCGGGCGCUCCCCAUGACACCCACUUGGAUUUACAUUCAGGAGACACCCUUGAACAUAUUCCAAAAAAAAACUUUGCAAAAAAGUACAUGGCGCAUAUCCUAAAGGUCUUCACCUAUAUUUUGUGCACUUACAUGCAUUUCUGUUUCGAAGUCUUUAUAUUCAAUGAAAAAACAUCACAAAUGUAGGCAGAUCUACAGAGUGAGUUUUAUGUAUUGAACGCCUCAAUUAUCUCAGAAACGGCUUGUACAAUUUUUAUUUUGUGUACAACGGUUUUGUGAUACGGCCGGUAUUAUGGUGGUAUCUAUAUUUUUCGCUUUUCGAAAUACUUAUUAUUUUUCAUCUAAUGUUUCCUAUACCCAAAUGCCAAAAUUUCGGAGUUAUAGCUACAUUUGCGUUAUCCACCGAUGUUAAAAUAAUAUGACUGCUACAAUAACAGAUUUGACGUUUCAAUAAAUUAUUAUUCUUGUUUAUUGAAAGUUUACUAAAGUUACAAUGGAUCGUUUAUCUGAAAAAGAACGAAUUGAUAUUUUAAUGAUAUUAGGAUAUGUGUAGAAGUAAUAUCUUCAAUAAUUUAUAUUCUAACCGAAAUCCCAUAACAACAUCUACUGUCAGUAAAUUAGUAAAAAAGUUUAACAAAACUGGUACAGUAAAAGAUUCAUCCAAAUAAGGGCACAGAAAAAACUGCAUCAACUGAAAACAAAUCUUUAGAUAUUUGUGUCCAGUUAGAAGACGAUCUACACUUGAGUACUAGACAAAUAUCCAGGAAAUUUGAUAUUACGCAAACAUCCGUAAUGAAAAUUUUAAAGAACUAUCAGAUGACGAUAAUUGUAGAUACUGGUCAGGUAGAUCUCUUUUUCAUUGGGGAUAACUUAAAUGGUACGGCGUAUUUAGAUUAGAUAGAUAUUUCCAAAUCAAGUAUUUUCAAUUACAUUUAAAAAAAAAACUUCCAUUAUUAAAAAUUUUCAAGAACAAUAUUCAAUACGAUAAUAUUUGGCUACAAGAAGAUGGUGCCUCACCUCACUAUGCGUGUAUGGUGAGGCAAUAGCUAAAUAAUGUGUUUCCCAGAAGAUGGAUUGGAAGGCGUGGUUUUAUCGAAUGGCCCCCGCUUUCACCCGACAUGAAUCCUUUAGACCAGUUUCGUUAAACUUUUUUACUAACUUACUGACACCAGACCUUGAUACGAGAUUUGUAUUAGCGCAUAAAUUAUUAAAGAAUAUUCAAAUUAUUCAAUCGUAGCCAUCUAAAUGUACAAUAUUUAUUGUAACUCUAUACUGUAAAUGUAGCUAUAACUCCGAAAUUAUGGCAUUACAUGAUAAAUAAUAGUAUUUCUUAAGGAUUUCUAAAAACACAAAAUAUUUAAGGUUAUCUAUUUCACAUGACCCUUGCGCACAAACAUUUAUAAAAAUUGUAAAAAAAAAUUGUAAACUCAUUCUGUAUUUGGAUACUAAAAUUAAAUUUACAAUGUUCUGUAUCACAUACCAAACAUAUUGAAAUAAUAAAUACAAAUUUCUCACUGCUUCGGAAAACAUCAAAAUACUGAAUAAAAUUAAUUUCUUAAAUUCGAUCGAAUGUGUCAAGCAGUCUUUAAAUACAUUGGUUUCACCAAUUGUACGACAUUAUGAUUAUUAAUUAUCGCUGAUCAACUCUCAAUCUACCCAAGUCCUGUUCAAUAGAAUGUUUCGUUAAAUUAUAAUUUCUACUAGAUGCCCAUUGAAUUUUGAUUACUCUACCCUUGUUUGAUUUUGUUUUAAUUUUAGUUUUAAUUUUUUAUUUAGAAAUUCAUUCUACUCUACGCCUCUGGCAGUCUCUCUUUCUUCGUUACUUGUCGUUUUUAUGUAGCGAGACGAGAACGCAGUAUAUGUAUUAUAUAGACCGAAGUAAGAACGUUUGGUUCUAAUAAAAAGAAGCUUUGCUUCCAGAAAAUAAAUGGGACUUUGUUUCAUUUAAAAUAAAUAGAAAAUUUAAAUACAAAAUAAAAUUAUACAGUCCACUUCAUUCAAUACAACAUUUUGGUCAUUCGAGCCGGAUGAUUAACAAAUUAUAAAUAAAUAAAAUUGUGUUGUGCACAAGAAGAUCCUUUCAAACUACCGCAUCAGGAAGAAGAAACCUAGCCAGCUGUUCCUGCUGACCAUAAAAUUCAGUUAUCUCGAUACAAGCACAUUACUAUGCUGAUACAGCACUUUUGGACUAGGUGGUCCAAGGACUACUUGAACUUACUCCAGCAGCGACCCAAAUGGCGAGUUACUCAAAUUGACUCUAUCCAAGUGGGAUCUAUGGUGCUCUUAAAGGAAGAUGAUACUCCUCCAAUGAGUUGGAAAUUUGGACACAUAGUAAAGACUCAUCCAGGCAGUGAUGGACUUGUUAGAGUAGUGACAGUAAAGACUUACAGUGGUAUCACUAAACGUGCCAUAAAUAAGAUAUGUGUUUUACCUAUAGACGAUUAAGGGUUAUUUGGUUGUACUUAUUUUUUACUUGUAUAUAAUUUUAUGCUAUGUUUAUUGCUUUAAUGUAUAUUUUUUUUCUUUUUGAAAGCUGGUACUUUCAAGGCCGGCGCUAUGUUUGAUUUUAUUUUAAUUUUAGUUUUAAUUUUUUAUUUAGAAAUUCAUUCUACUCUACGCCUCUGGCAGUCUCUCUUCGUUACUUGUCGUUUUUAUGUAGCGAGACGAGAACGCAGUAUAUGUAUUAUAUAGACCGAAGUAAGAACGUUUGGUUCUAAUAAACAGAAGCUUUGCUUCCAGAAAAUAAA